rnacentral:rRNA from 1 species
CGGGAUGGACAUACCUCUGGUGUACCAGUUGUCGUGCCAACGGCAUAGCUGGGUAGCUAUGUAUGGACGGGAUAAGUGCUGAAAGCAUCUAAGCAUGAAGCCCCCCUCGAGAUGAGAUUUCCCAACUUCGGUUAUAAGAUCCCUCAAAGAUGAUGAGGUGAAUAGGUUCGAGGUGGAAGCGUAGCGAUACGUGGAGCUGACGAAUACUAAUCGAUCGAAGACUUAAUCAACAU